rnacentral:rRNA from 1 species
UGGGGAAUAUUGCACAAUGGGCGCAAGCCUGAUGCAGCCAUGCCGCGUGUAUGAAGAAGGCCUUCGGGUUGUAAAGUACUUUCAGCGAGGAGGAAGGCAUUAAGGUUAAUAACCUUAGUGAUUGACGUUACUCGCAGAAGAAGCACCGGCUAACUCCGUGCCAGCAGCCGCGGUAAUACGGAGGGUGCAAGCGUUAAUCGGAAUUACUGGGCGUAAGCAGCACGCAGGCGGUUUGUUUAUAGUCAGAUGUGAAAUCCCCGGGCUCAACCUGGGAACUGCAUUUGAAACUGGCAAGCUUGAGUCUUGUAGAGGGGGGUAGAAUUCCAGGUGUAGCGGUGAAAUGCGUUAGAGAUCUGGAGGAAUACCGGUGGCGAAGGCGGCCCCCUGGACAAAGACUGACGCUCAGGUGCGAAAAGCGUGGGGAGCAAACA